rnacentral:rRNA from 1 species
UUGGAAUUGCUAGUAAUCGUGGAUCAGCAUGCCACGGUGAAUACGUUCCCGGGUCUUGUACACACCGCCCGUCACACCAUGGGAGCUGGUAACACCCGAAGUCAGUAGUCUAACCGCAAGGAGGACGCUGCCGAAGGUGGGAUUAGCGACUGGGGUGAAGUCGUAACAAGGUACC